ensembl:snoRNA U3 Small nucleolar RNA U3
AAGACUGUUUUUAGGGGUCUUUUCUAUCCUCUGUCACUGACAGUUUCAGAUUCUCUGAAAGUCUAGAACCCCAGAAAACAAACACAAGCAGGAAGCAGCCUUCUCUCCUGAAUGUGAAACCAGGUCUUGGUGUUGCUUCUGCACCUGCCACUUGCCAUCGAUAAUUGUCCUUUUCUUUUGGAAGAGCAGGAGAGAGAGGAUGACAUGGAGUGGU